ACUGCCAGAACUCCUUGUGCUAAAUAGUGGGAAAGAAGACAGAGUAAGCCAGAAAGUACCCUUCUGUGCUAGAACUCAUGAGGCAUAAGGGGAAAAUGACUUAUGCCAAACCCUAAUACCAAGCUAGAUAGUGGCAGCCCAAAAAUAGUGCUGGUGGUUGUUAGAAGUACAUAUAUAAGGAGCUUAUAUCACACUAAAUUCCUAGGCAGACUGGACCUGUAUUACAUGCCACGUGAUGUCAGAGAGAAUACUUCACCCUUCUCCAUAUGCAGCAACAAUUGGCACCUGUUGUUUCCUGCUUUCCACCUGUAUCAUUAAUCUGAUAGCACUUCUAGCUGCUAUGGAUGGCCCUGAACCAGACAGACUGCAGGGCACUGAGUGUUAGGACACUCAGCGUUUGGGAGUGCCCUCUGGCCCCACUGCCUAAGGACUAACCAUUUCUGGAGACUGGAAUCCCUCUGUCUCCCCACUAAUCACUGUGACAUGUUAACUGUUGAUUAGCACUUCUUUCUACUUAUGUCAUUGUUUUGGGGUCCCUUCUAAGAAUAGGAUUCUUUAAAAAGUUAUCCAGUAUAAUUGUGAGCACUAAGACUCAACCUCAUUUAAAUUGAUCACCCUUCUUUUGUUAGAUAAGCUAUAAAAGUGAAGUGCUUUGUUACAGCUUUGCUGAUUUUCUAUGGUAAUAGUGUGCAGCUGGGAGGUUGAGACUCAGAUAAAGGACGUGGGAGAGUGAGUGGCCCCUUUCCCUGCACAGCUGUGGCCUGGUGACUGCUGAAUACUAUCCCGGAAGAGAACAGCUGCUAAAAUUUUGGCUAUCUGUUAAAUUAUAUUGAAUACAAAUAGUAAUGUGGACCCCUUAUUUUGCCCCUGUUUGUCUACUGGCCGGAAAACUGGACCAUGUUAGGUAUGCUGUUGCUAUAAAAAAAUGAUAAAAUCUUUUUAUAUAAAUAAAUUAAACAGAAGUAAAAAUAAAAUCUAAAUGUAAAAGCCAAAACUUGAAAAGUAAUCAUUGUAUAGUAACGUUCCAUUCCUGGGAGUCCCCUUUGAGAAUAUCUGACUUCUCUAUUUAUUUUAGAAGGAUGGAAAACUGCUCAAGGUUACGGCUAAAGUUAGACCCCAGUUCUUUCCCUUCUAACCCAGCACUGUUUCCCUUGUACAACUUGUUAUAUAUCAAAACUCAUUUAUGCAAUAUUUUUUAGUGUUUUUCAGUGGAACGCUGAUAAAAGUUAACAACUGGCUCAUCAAGUGUAGUUUUAAUAUGAAUGUUGGUUGGUAUUUUCAUUAACGUAAAUAAGUAAGAUGAAAGUGCAACAAUGAAAGCAUGUCAGAACUUCACUCAUUCAUCAAUGAAGUGACUCUUUUGCUGCAUCAGACAACAGUUUUUGAUACUAAAAUGAUUCCUUACUUUUUUGUGAUAUUCAUAAUGCAAUGACUAUGGCAUGCACACUUUUAAGUUUAAUUAUCUCCAUCACCUUCAUAACCAAGGAUUGGCAUACUCUUUCUGUAAAGAGCCAAAGAGUAAAUAAUUUAGGCUUUAUGUGCCGCUUAUGGUCUCUCACAUAUUCUUUGUUUAUUUUACAACCCUUUAAAAAUGUGAAAAGCCCUGCUUUGCAGAAUUGGCCGUGGUGUCAGUACUCUCAGUAUUCAGCCCACCGACAUAUCUCUCAGCACAGUUAGGAGGAGGUGUGUAGUACAGCACCCUUAUGCACUGUUCCCAUGCAGAUUGAGUUACAGUAACGCACCCCAAAAGCAUACAUAGUACAAUAAUUAGUAAGUGGUGAGUUUUGAGUAUUAAUCACCUUCAUUUUUAAUUUAAUUUAUCUAAUUUUAAGUUUAUAUCAUUUAAUUUUUAACAGAGUCUGUGUUUAACAACUGACUUGCAAAAUUCCUGAAGAUUUAACACUCCGUUCUAGUGGGCUGGUAGACUGGCCCCAGCAAUGGCAUUUCUGUCAUGUUAUUCCAGACUGAGGCUUCCAGCAGAUGGAGUUGACUCCAUAGUUCUAUAUAACUGUACACUAUAAUAUUCAAAAUGGAUUAAAUUAGGGUUCUGAAAUGUCAAGUUUGGAUAGGUUUUAUUUCUUGUCUGCCUUUUUUUUUUAACUUGAAAGUAAUCAAUUUCCUGUGUUAGGAAAAUGCUUUGUUAAAUGAGAGUUCUGAGAAGGCUCAUGUUACUCUGGCUCUUGAACUUAAGUAAUAGAGAGCAUUCUCAUUUUGCCCUAAUGACUAUGGGAUGAUUCCAUUGUAUUUUGAGGUUUAUUUACAAAUACUGAUGAAUCUAGCACAACAUCCUAGUCAUUUUUUUGUUCAGCAUGAUAAAAUUAUUUAUACAGACCACAGUGUUUGUUUUUUAUUAUGGUAAGACAUAUAGACCAUAAACUUUGUCACUGUAACCACUUUAAGUAUACUGUUAAUUGGCAUUAAGUGUAUUAUCACUGGUGUGCGACCAUUGCCACCAUCCAUCUCCAGCACUUUAUGUUCCCAAACUGAAGUGCUGCACCCAUGUAAACUCCCCAUGACCCCUCCCCACACCCUGGCAACCACCAUUCCACUUUCCGUCUCUGUGAACUGACUACUUUAGGCACUUUAUAUAAGUUGAAUCAUACAGCAUUUUUGUGUGUGUGUGUGACUGGAUCUUUUCACUUAGCAUAAUGUUUUUAAGGUUUGCCCAUAUUAUACCCUGUGUCAGAAUUUCAUUCCUUCUUAGGGCUGAGUAAUGUUCCAUUAUAUGUAUAUACCACAUUUUGUUUAUCCAUUCAACCAUUUAUGGACAUUUCAGCUGUUUCCACCCUUUGGCUCUUAUAAAUAAUGCUACUUUGAAAAAUACCAACGUUUCAUUAGAAAAAAUAACAUGUAAACAUGGAUACUACCUGUUGACCAUGAGACAUAAAGAACCACAAGAACUAUGAGAUUUGAAAGCUCUAGACAAAAAUUCACUUUUGGGAGAAUAUAUAUGGACAUUUUUAGGUAAGUGGAGGAUCAAUUAGGUAUUUUAAAAAGGUUUUAUUUGGAAACACUGUGGCAUUCCUCCCAUGUUUGAAAAAUAGAGCAAUUAAUCUAUUUAUGAGACUUAAAUACAAUAUGAUCAACAUUAUCAUGGCAGUCUAACCUAUUGUAUAUGUGAAGGCCAAGCAAGUGAUAGGACAAAAGAAUAAUAUUAUGGUUUGUGUGGUUAAAUGGACUCUUAAAGAGCUAGUAAGU